rnacentral:piRNA from 2 species
UCUCCUGUCGAUGACCGAGUGAAUC